rnacentral:lncRNA from 1 species
ACUUACCUGACCAAUUUGGUGAACUAGAUUUUGAUUAGAUCGUUAAAUAAUUCGAGUUAGCCCAUGCCAUUAAGGUUGAUCAGUGUGACUGAUCUAGAUGUCAGUUCAAUCAGCAUGACCUAACCCAAUUCAGUGACUUGGUGAAGUCAGUGGAAGGAUUAUGGUCUUCUGAUUGUUCUUUUCUUCUCUUCUCUCUUCUCUAAAUCAUUUAAAUCCUCUAAAUUAUUAGGUAUUUAAAAUGAGCUGGUUAUGGUGAUAACUAGA